rnacentral:lncRNA from 1 species
ACAUUAUUAUGAGCCAUUCUCCCCUCCGCAUCCUCCUGUGAGUCACACACACACAAUCCAUUCAGUCAGACCAUACAUUUUACUAUGAGCAGUUUUUUUCUGUUGCUCAACUACUUUCAAAGAAUAGCUUGUGUUCACUAGCUUCAAAUUUUCAUUACAUUCACCCAGAAUCUUGGAGCACUUUUGUUGGAAAUUAUGUCUGUGAUAUUUGGAGGAUCCAUCUUAGCCAUUUGCAUGCUGUCAUCUCCCCCUUGUUCCUCAGAAAAUGAAAUAGUGAAGAGGAUCCAACUACAGAAUAACAGAAUCACACAUUUGUCUCUUGUAAAACACUAUCAUUGUGCUACAUUUCCCCUAGUCACUAAGCCAGAGGCCAAUUUGAAGAAGAAGCGAAAGAGAUCAGUGUAGGCGUGGGGGCGGUGCAGGCCCUGGUGAUGCAGAGGGACUCCAGACUCACUCGGGCACUGGUGCCUGUAGCCAGUCUCCACAUCAUGCUGCUGGUGACCCACUUGGCCAGUCAAGAGGAAGUGAACUUGGCAGUGUGUGCAGUGGCCCAGAUGAAGGCAUCGCUGCAGGACCUGCUGCGGGGGCGAGAGCUCAUCCUACCCUUCCAUAGCAUCGGACACUUCAGGAAGGUGGCGUUUUAUAGAGUUGGCCCAGGGAGAAAACGUUGUCAAACUGGUCCAGAUUGCAGGUCUUGUGAGGAAAACGUUUGA